UACGUAGGGGGCAAGCGUUAUCCGGAAUUACUGGGUGUAAAGGGAGCGUAGACGGCAAUGCAAGUCCGGAGUGGAAUGCGGCAGCUCAACUGCCGAACUGCUCUGGAAACUGUAUGGCUUGAGUGCAGGAGGGGUAAGCGGAAUUCCUGGUGUAGCGGUGAAAUGCGUAGAUAUCAGGAGGAACACCGGUGGCGAAGGCGGCUUACUGGACUGUAACUGACGUUGAGGCUCGAAAGUGUGGGGAGCAAACAGG
rnacentral:rRNA from 1 species